rnacentral:misc_RNA from 1 species
GAUGAAGAACGUAGUGAAAUGCGAUAAGUAAUGUGAAUUGCAGAAUUCAGUGAAUCAUCGAAUCUUUGAACGCACCUUGCACCCUUUGGCAUUCUGAAGGGUAUGCUCGUUUGAGUGUCAUUGUACUCUCACACUCCCGAUCUUUGCAUUGGGAGCAGUGGACUUGGGUUUGCUGCUUCACCGUCGCUUACCUCAAAUAGGUUAGUGCAACUCUUGGUUGGACAUAGUACGGCGUGAUAAGUGUUCUUCGCCGGUGCCUCGCAAAGAGGGUGGCCGAUCGGGAUGUUGUGCUCCAAACCGUCUUCGGACAAUCUCUGACGACUUGACCUCAAAUCGAGUAAGACUACCCGCUGAGCUUAAGCAUAUCAAUAAGCGGAGGA